rnacentral:rRNA from 1 species
AUUGAACGCUGGCGGCAGGCUUAACACAUGCAAGUCGAGCGGAGAGAGGUAGCUUGCUACUGAUCUUAGCGGCGGACGGGUGAGUAAUGCUUAGGAAUCUGCCUAUUAGUGGGGGACAACAUUUCGAAAGGAAUGCUAAUACCGCAUACGUCCUACGGGAGAAAGCAGGGGAUCUUCGGACCUUGCGCUAAUAGAUGAGCCUAAGUCGGAUUAGCUAGUUGGUGGGGUAAAGGCCUACCAAGGCGACGAUCUGUAGCGGGUCUGAGAGGAUGAGCCGCCACACUGGGACUGGGACACGGCCCAGACUCCUACGGGAGGUAGCAGUGGGGAAUAUUGGACAAUGGGCGGAAGCCUGAUCCAGCCAUGCCGCGUGUGUGAAGAAGGCCUUAUGGUUGUAAAGCACUUUAAGCGAGGAGGAGGCUACUUUAGUUAAUACCUAGAGAUAGUGGACGUUACUCGCAGAAUAAGCACCGGCUAACUCUGUGCCAGCCGCCGCAGUAAGAC